UUAUAACUGAAUAAUUUACCUAAGACUCAGGUGAUCCCGUGCGGAUCUUAAUAGUAUGCCUGCCGAGGAACGUAUAAUUUUAUCCGUAACUCUUAGUCUGGGUCACGGAUAUUUUUAGUUCUAA
rfam:Pediococcus claussenii ATCC BAA-344, complete genome.